ACAGAGAGUCAWUAUCAUCAUUGUGUGCUUUUGCCAACAGCAAGUGAUUCGGGUGUAUAGCUUGCCUGACGGGACCUUCAGCUCAGAUGAAGAUGAGGAAGAUGAUGAUGAUGAUGAAGAGGACGAGGAGGAGGAAGAUGAACAAGAACCCUAAGGUGUGGCAAUUGCGCUAGUGACCAGGUGGCCUGCAUCACACAGAAAAUACUCCMUCGUUACAUUCAAAUAAAGAUCUGACAAACUGG